rnacentral:rRNA from 1 species
UAUCAAUAAGCGGAGGAAAAGAAACCAACAGGGAUUGCCUCAGUAACGGCGAAGUGAAGCGGCAAGAAGCUCAAAUUUGAAAGCUGGCCCCUUCGGGGUCCGCAUUGUAAUUUGCAGAGGAUGCUUCGGGAGCGGCCCCCAUCUAAGUGCCCUGGAACGGGACGUCAUAGAGGGUGAGAACCCCGUAUGGGAUGGGGUGCCCGCGACCAUGUGAAGCUCCUUCGACGAGUCGAGUUGUUUGGGAAUGCAGCUCUAAAUGGGUGGUAAAUUUCAUCUAAAGCUAAAUAUUGGCCGGAGACCGAUAGCGCACAAGUAGAGUGAUCGAAAGAUGAAAAGCACUUUGAAAAGAGAGUUAAAAAGCACGUGAAAUUGUUGAAAGGGAAGCGCUUGCGACCAGACUCGCCCGCGGGGUUCAGCCGGUAUUCGUACCGGUGUACUUCCCCGCGGGCGGGCCAGCGUCGGUUUGGGCGGCCGGUCAAAGGCCCUCGGAAUGUAACGCCUCUCGGGGCGUCUUAUAGCCGAGGGUGCCAUGCGGCCAGCCCGGACCGAGGAACGCGCUUCGGCACGGACGCUGGCAUAAUGGUCGUAAGCGACCCGUCUUGAAACACGGACCAAGGAGUCUAACAUCUACGCGAGUGUUCGGGUGUCAAACCCGUGCGCGCAGUGAAAGCGAACGGAGGUGGGAACCCUUUGGGUGCACCAUCGACCGAUCCUGAAGUCUUCGGAUGGAUUUGAGUAUGAGCGUAGCUGUUGGGACCCGAAAGAUGGUGAACUAUGCCUGAAUAGGGCGAAGCCAGAGGAAACUCUGGUGGAGGCUCGCAGCGGUUCUGACGUGCAAAUCGAUCGUCAAAUUUGGGUAUAGGGGCGAAAGACUAAUCGAACCAUCUAGUAGCUGGUUCUGC